rnacentral:lncRNA from 10 species
AAUUAAUGUUAGUCACUGUUGUCUUUUUUGUUUUUGUUUUUUUUUUUUUUUUUUGAGGCGGAGUCUCGCUCUUUCGCCCAGGCCGGACUGCAGUGGCGCUAUCUCGGCUCACUGCAAGCUCCGCCUCCCGGGUUGACGCCAUUCUCCUGCCUCAGCCUCCUGAGUAGUUGGGAUUACAGGCGCCCGCCACCGCGCCUGGCUAAUUUUUUGUAUGUUUAGUAGAGACGGGGUUUCACCGUGUUAGCCAAGAUGGUCUCGAUCUCCUGACCUCGUGAUCCGCCUGCCUCGGCCUCCGGCCUCCCAAAGUGCUGGGAUUACAGGCGUGAGCCACCGCGCCCGGCCCUCACUGUUGUCUUUUAAGUAGUGAAACAGGAAUGUCUCUCUGAUCAGAAAGCACAAUUAAGAUUCUGCAGAAAAGGAAAUCCAGCUCGGUGCCACCAAUCUGUACUAGGAAUGAAGAUUUGUUACCUGUCCUGCUGACGUCAGACCCAGCACCAGGUGCAGAAGCAACCAUCAUACAAAAAUCAAGCUUCCUUAAUUAUCCUCUGAAGAGUCCCUACCAGCAAGAAGGCUCUCACCAGACGUGGCCCUUUGACCUUGGAUUUCUCAGCCUUCAAAACUCUUGAGAUGCCCGAUCCCAGGCUCACCGAAGCGAGGUGAUACCAGACUCUCCCAGGCUCACCCAGGACAUGGUUUUCAUGUAGUGCAGUGUAGCAGGGUCUCAGAUCUACAACACCUGAACACCUCCCCUGAGGAAGCCUCAAGUUCAGUGCUAGCUCUGCAGUCAACAUCAACCUAAAAUAUUACUACAGACAGAAAUCGUUCUGGAUCAAAAUUCUGAUCUUCUUUCCACUUUUUCAGACUCAUCAGAAGAGGUGUCUAAGAAGAUGCACAAAAAAAUUUGCAAGUGGACCAUUAUUGCCUGAGGGUCUAAAGUUUUACCAGAUUCUUUUUACAAUGAAGUAUAUAUAGUGUACAUGCUUGGGGAAAAUGCUGGGUCUUAAACCCAACCUCUAUUAACACGAUUAUUGCUCAUUAAUCAUGGCUGAAAAAUCUGGCAUCAAGAAUCACCGAGAUCCUAGCUACUCAAAGUGUAAUCCCUGGAUCAACAGCAUCAGCAGCAUCUGAGAGCUUGUUGGAGAUGCAGAAUCUCAGGCAGACCUACUGAACCAAAAAAAAAAAAAAAAUCUCAUUUUAACAAGACCCACAGGGGAUUGAAAUUUUCCUUCCACAUUUGAGAAGCACUGCUCUAGAUCCUCUCUCUUGAGGAGGUCAUUUACGUCAGGUUCUAUUCUUAAUAGGAAACAGGUUGAGAAAUAAAAACCUCAACAGGGCUACAAAUACGAACCCAGAAAAUGUGAAGUUUUUAGUGAAUGUUGAAAACAAGGCAGCAAAAUGGCUGUUUAUUAAACCUAAUAUAUUCUGUACUGAGAUCAAAAGGCAGGUGUUACAAGGACCAUAGCUCUAAUUAUGAAGUUGGCUAUUUCAACACGACCAGCCACUGAACACUACACGCUUCCCCUUCGUGCUUUUAGUCUUUCCCAUAAAUGCCACAUGGUUCUUUUGGCAGAAUUAGCUCCCAGAUUUGCAGUGGGAAUUAGACAAGAACAUUUUCUCCUUCCUUUCCUUUGAGAUGCAGGGAUGGGGGCUAGAGCAGGCAGCAGGGAGCACUUCUGAGGCCAGGAGUAAGCAAAACUAAAACCAGAGAAGGGGUGCCAAGAUAUGAAUGCCAGAGGGAACAUAAGGGCACAAAACUGCAAGAGGGGGAAGGAGGGUGACACAUUGCCAGGUGCCUGGGACCAGAGACGCACCAAGUGGUAGGGUCUUUUUAAAAUUUUAUUUCUUAGAAUGUAUUUUUAAUUAACAAAUAAAACUUAUAUUUAUGGUAUCUAACAUGAUGUUUUGGAAUAGGUAGACACUGUGCAAUGGCUAAAUCCAGCUAAUUAACAUAUGCAUUGCCUCACAUUUUUAUUUUUUUGUGCUGAGAACACUUAAAAUCUACUCUUAGCGAUUUUCAAGAACAUAAUACAUUGUUAUUAAUUAUAGUCACUGUGUUGUACAAUAGAUCUCUUGAAUUUAUUCACCCUGUCUAAGUGAAAUUUUGUAUCCUUUGACCACCCCUCUCCCAGUGCCCAGGCAACCAGCAUUCCGCUGUCUGCUUCCAUGUGUUACACUUUUUUAGCUUCCAUGUAUAUGAGUGAGAUCAUGUGGGAUUUGCCUUUCUGUUUUUGGCUUAUUUCACUUAGCAAAUGUCCUCCAGGUUCACGCAUGUUGUCACAAAUGACAGAACUUCUUCUCUUUUUAAGGCUGAGUAGUAUUCCAUUGUGUAUAUAUACCACAUUUUCUUUAUCAGCUCAUCUGUUGAUAGACAUUUAGGUUGAUUCCAUAUCUUGACUGUUGUGAAUAGUGCUGCAACAAACAUGAGAGGGGGUGCAGAUAUCUCUUUGACAUACCGAUUUCAUUUCCUUUGUAUCUAUACUGAGCAGUGGG